GAUCUCAGAAGCCUAAGCAGCAAACAGCAAAUUGAGGAUUGAGAAGGCUGAUGUGUAGUUGCGUGAGUCAGUAUGUCAAAGAGAACGUAGCUUUGGAAAUCUGAGCUUAGGUAUGGAAGGCAAGCCUGAAGUCAUCGGUGAUACUAGGAGAAGGUAGUAACCAGAUAUGUGACGCAGGACAAGCUCUUAUUAACGAAAACUUAUAUGAAAGGUUAUGUAGUCAUGUAUACUUUUUAUUGGCAGCAGACAAGAAACAAUAUGGAGAAUUAUACGCUAUCUUAAAGGUAAUGAUUUGAUAUUGUAAACAUAUGUAUUUACAACUGUUAGCUAUCUUUCGUCUUUCUCGAAUAAUAAGAUGUUCGUUUUAGUAUUAUAUCUCAUGUCUAUGCUAUCUUUUUGUUAUGCAGGAAAUUCAAGGGCUACUUAGGCACGGUGUAGCUGCUGUUAAGAUUUCUACUCAGUUCUCACUUUGGUAUCUGCUUUAUUGAAUUUCUUCCUCCAUUCACAAACAUGUUUGAAUUCUUGACAUGAGACUUCUCUUAGUUUUACACCAAAGCAAAUAAGUAUGGAAUCUUACAAGAUAUUUAUUUUUGUGGUUCCAGCUGCUUCUCCAUCCUGACUCUGAUGAUUCCGCUUAGCUAUCCCAGGUAAGAAAAAGAAUAAGAAGAAGAAACAAAUAAAUGUUGGAGAUAAUAUGUUGCAAAAAGAAAUUUGGAGUCUUAGAUGUUUUUUUCCUUCCUUCUCUAGAUUCAGACGGGAAAGCUUUUGACCUAUAUUACUUACUGAAAUGAACAAGCGCUUGGUAAGUCUCCAUGUUUUCUAAAUGAUUUAUGUUCAUUUCCAAUACUGAUAUCCGAAUACUCAAGAUUGUUUGCAUAAUCUACACACACUCUUGCCUAAUAAAUGAAAUCUUUGAAACUUGAGAGACAGAAGGCACGUGCAAGGGCAAUAAUUUCAAUGCUAUAUGUCACUUCCUUGGUUACCAAGCUUGCGGAUCUCUCACACUGAAAUUCAAUUGUUAUUAUGCAUAUGUAAGUCACUGCCACUCUGACCACAACACUAAUUCCACAUCCUCGCUGCAGGUUUAAAUGGUGACAUGGAAACAAUGACCAACUCUAAAAGUCAUGUAAACAAGUGGAAAUCUGGUGCUGUACCUACUAAAAUUGGCAGACGUACAAUUCAUCCGAGUAAGCAGUUUCUGUUUUGUUUACAAAAACAUCAAAAAGAUGCAUGCUUAAUAAUGUUGCUUUUUAUCUUUCUCAGUUGUUAGUAAUGUUUAAAUAGUUUGUAACAGGCUUUCAGACAGAACACAGAGAAACCCACGACCUCUUCAGGUGCACAUUAGCCACUUUGUUAUUCAUGUGCAGAACCCACGACCUCUUCAGUAUGAUGGUCCCUGAUGCUGCAGAUUACAUGGGACGUAUCAAUAUAAGCGACAUAAAUGAAGGACACACUUGCUACUAAAGGAGGUGAACAACUAUCAAUAGCCUUCUCCUUCUAGAGCUCGUAAUCUCUUUGAAGUUGAUCUUUUAAUUGAUCUUUGUGUUGUUUAUAGUUUUCUAAUAGAGAAAAAAAUUAUCAUGGUAAGAUACUACAAGGCUGUGGGAGAUUAGCAAGUAAGCCCGAGGAAGAAUCAAAUUAAGAGAAAAAAACGAAUGCUCUGAUUUUUGUAUACACCAUACAAGACGCUACUACUCUUAGACUUGGUGGUGAAGAGUGAAUGGAAUGGACAAGAAAAAAAAGAACAAUGAUAACGACAAUCGGAAUAAUUUUUCGAAAAACUACAAGCAAUCGCCUAAAUGAUACUACUAUACUCUGCAAUGUUUAAAGAUCCAACCCAUCCAUCCAUCAGUAACCACAAUCACAUCACUUGAAAAUAAUACAAAAAAUGACUCGAAAAAUAUCCCCUCUUUUAAGUCUUAAAAGCUACAAGAUAUUCAUACUGAAAUCAUUUCACGAGCAUGUUAAACAUCAGGGGCCACCAUCCAAAAUAUCAUUCGAUUUGUGUUAGCUAAGGCCGCGUAAGACAAUCUGGUCUACAAAAAUAUGAAAAUUCUCAGUUUUUCGGAUCAUCCUCUCAACUCACUAACCAGAUACAUGGAUCUAAUAGUGAUUAGAUUCCUUAACGCCGGUAACACAUAAACUUACAAUGUCAAGAACAUACAAGAAUAUUUUCAUCAAACAACACUGAUUUCGUCUAUUCACUUGGUUUCUAAAGAAUCAUAUAUAAAUGCCUUUUACCUCUAUGGCAUUUUGAUGUUAUGAACGUAGACAAACUAGAAUAGCGGCAAUUGCAAAGCAACAAUAAUUAAAACAUACCAAGGUCCGAUACAAUAGCUAGAAUAACACAUCAAAACAUCCCUCUAUGAUAUAUGUGUCGAACAACGUCCGUGUUUACUUUGGAACACUGAAAACAAUGAAAUCGACAAUUCAAAACCGAACCUGUGUAAACGAUGUCGCAUUCCAAUUUUUUUUUAAAAAGUUUAUUAUAAUAUUCUAAGCUAUAUGAAAAUUAUACAAAAAUAAUUAUCUAAAUGAAUAAUAAAAAAAAUCUUUAUUUCAUUUUAUGAAAAAUUUAUUUACCUUAUAAAAAACCUUUUUAUGUAUUUUAUAUAUGGAUUAAUAUAUAGAAAUAUUUUUUUAAAAACAAUUGGGAGCCCUUUAUAUGUUGGGUUCCAUUCAAAUGUUUAAAACAAUGAGCUCCAACCCGACCCUAUUUAUAUUACUAUUACAGAUGAAUGAGAAAUUGUGUUCUAUUAAAAUUUACAGAUUAUAUGUUUUUUAUUGGGCAAAUAUUAGCUUCACUCUCUCCAUUUUAAAAUAAUAUUUUUUUUAAGGGAUUCAAUACCUUUUAACAUAUUACCGACAUCCACUUACUGAUUUGCAUGACAAUAAUAGUCAACAUGCAAGUAUAAUCCAUAAUAUUAAACAAUUUAGCACCAUCGGAAAAAUUCACAUGCACAUAACAAUAAAUCAAAAACCAUAGGACAAUACUGUUAAAAUAAAAUAGAUUAAGUCAUCAUAGCAAAAUAACAACAAGAAAAAAAAACAUCACAAACUAAUCUACAGUAAAAACCUCAUUUUUAAUUUAUUAAAAUUAAAUUUAAAAUAAUUUUCAAAUAUUUUAUAAAAUUAAAAUAUAUUUUAAUAUAAAAUAAUUUUAUUAUAACUCACCCGUCCGUAGAGCGGACUAAUCCCUAGUCCUUACUAAUAAAAGGGACCUUUUGAGGCUCCAUAGAGCGUCCACAUCAGCAAAAAAAAUUCUCCCGAAAGAUGACACGUGGCAUAAAAUAUAGUUUUACAUU